GAGCAAGUUCACCAGUUCACUUCAUCAGUAUUGAGGAUAUCGGUUAUCAUCAUGUUUUCAUUCUUUGUGACAGUUCUUGUUGUCCUUCGAGUCAUUGCUAAUUCUGUUGGUCAAAGUGUGUCAGAUGAGAGAAAUCAGCAGAGAUGCGUGCUUGCUGGUGUUCCUGGAGUACCUGGAUCACCCUGUUUGCACGGAUCACCUGGACAAGAUGGAAUGAAAGGAGGAAAAGGCUUGAAGGGAGAGAGAGGAUUAACUGGAGAUGUCGACAGUAAAUGUAAUGCUGGGAAGAUAGGUCCACAAGGAAUAUAAAGAGAACAAGGUAGAAAAGAAAUAAAGGGAGAGAGGGGAUUAGUUGGAGAUAUCGGUGGUAAAGAUGAUGCUGGAGAAAGAGGCCCACAAGGUCCACAAGGGAUAAGAAGAGAAACAUUAAGGAAGGAGAGCAAGGAGAAGGUAUGACACUCAACUGGGAACAGUGUGUGUGGAAUAGAAAUGAUGACAAGGACAGUGGUCUGAUUCAGAACUGUAAUUUUAGGAAACAUGACAGCAAUUCAUCUUUACAUGUUGCAUAUGCAGGAAAUUUCAGGGUUUACUGCUGUAGUGGUACUUGCUGUUCUCGAUGGUAUUUUACAUUCAACGGUAAUGAGUGCAGUGGACCUAUGACUAUUGAGGGAGUUGUAUAUGGUAAUCCAGCUAAUGAUAAUCCUCAUCGUCAUAGACAGAUUGAGGGAUACUGUGAGAACAUUCGAGCAGGUCAAGUCACAAUUGGAUUCAACAUUGGAAACUGUAACAAUUGGAGAUCAACAACUUAUGAUAGCUGGACAGGAUUUCAUUAAUCAUCUUGCAUUAUGAUUGCAGAAGUUUCUCCAUCCAAAAGUGACUGAAUUAGAGAGGAAUUAGAACUUGUGUUCAGCAUAGUUUGCAGUAUGUACAGUACGAGGUAUCUGAAGUGGAAGCUGGA